GCAGUUGUGGAGUUGCAGAGAGCCGAACGAUGGAAAGUUGCUGCUGGGGAAGAACGGAGUAGAGUACGGGAUGUGCAUCUCAGUAAACCAAGUUGAAAUCUUGGGAAAAUAUCUUCUCUAGAUGACUUGCAAGCCAUACCAUGAAAUCAAGCGAGGACACCAUCUGUAGGUGUUUGCAAUGAAACAUUAAGGAAACCGAGUGUUCGAGGGGUUUGAUUGCAAGGUUACUUCUUAGUUGGGUCACAUCUUAUGAGGUAUUGCUCAUACAGAUACAUGAGCAUCGUCAAUCAUGAGACCACCAGCGGAUUGCCAAUAUCAUCUACCAGAUUGAUCUACAUGUCGUGACAUCCAUUUCGUUGAAGAAUUUUACUGCCAAACAAUAUGCAGCAUCACCUCUAAGCAGUGCUUUGUAGGCAAGCAUUC